rnacentral:lncRNA from 1 species
ACCACAUGUUUUUAAUUACACAGGCACUCCACCCACAAAUUUACAGACCACAAGUGGAACAAAAGCAUAUAGGUUGCCCUACAACUCGACAGUCCAACUUGUUAUGCAAGAUACUGGGAUCAUAUCCCCUGAGAACCAUCCAAUCCAUCUACAUGGAUUCAAUUUCUUUGCUGUUGGUAGGGGAGUAGGGAAUUACAAUCCGAAGACUGAUCCUAAGAAAUUCAACCUUGUUGACCCUGUUGAACGGAACACAAUUGGAGUACCUUCUGGUGGAUGGGUUGCCAUAAGAUUUCGUGCCGAUAAUCCUGGUAAUUGAUGUUUUUGGUUUAUGUCCACUAAAUUUGAACUUGAGAAAUUUUUCAUAAUUCAUAUUCUUUAUUUUUAUUUUUUCAAUUUUUGAAGGAGUUUGGUUCAUGCAUUGCCAUCUCGAGGUGCACACUACAUGGGGACUUAAGAUGGCAUUCUUGGUGGACAAUGGCAAAGGCCCUAACGAGUCACUUCUGCCGCCUCCAAGCGAUCUUCCAAAAUGUUAAACCAGCUGAAGAAAUUAAUUUACUUGAGGGAUAGAAGCAGUAGCGGAUCAGAACAGGGGUCCGAGCCGAAAGAUCCUAUGCUCGAAAAGAGAGGAGUAAUAUAUAUAUAUAUAUAAACACACACACACACAUAUAAAAAAGAAAAGUUGAGAGUUAAAAGAUCCAAUUUGUUUCUUGAGUAAUCUGAAAUAUUUGCUCAAGCGAGUUUGAAUAAAAUUUUAUGAGCGGUACUGUUGUGGAAAUUCAAAUGUUAUUUUUUUCCCGUCAAAUAUAUAUAUUGAGAAUUUUUAUGGCUUAGCCAAUUAAUUUGUUUCUUUAAUAUGGUUUAUCAUUUUUUUUUCUUAUUGUGAGAAAUCUAGUUGUAUUAACAUGUUACUCCAUGAGAUACAAUUGUAAAUCACAAAAGAACGUGCAUCAUCUAACCACACUUCAUUUAAAACUGCUAACAAAACAAAUGGAAGGUUUUUGUUAGAGGUCGAGUUAGUACACAUGAAAUUAUUUCUUAGAUCGCUAAUUAAAGGUUAUAAAAAACAUUUGCAAUUUAACUCAACAAGAAUUUUACUUUGAAGAACCAAAAUUAUAUAUAAUUUAUCAUCCACAUCCUAUGUUUAUAACGAUACGCAAACGAGAAGUAUAAAUUACAACAAAGUCAAUCAAUCAUUUAAAAAGUUUGCAAAUUCAAUCAAGAACUUAGUAUGAGAACCACUUAACCACAUAAAAAGAAAUAAACACAUAAUAUGCAUCAACUUGUAGAAAAAAUUCAUCAACUUAAUAAAAAUUCAUUAUAUAAGAGUAUUUAUGUGUAAACCUUAAAAUUAAUAGGUCAGGCAUGCACCCAAUUUAAAUAAAAUCCAAAAUAAUUAAAAUUAGAUUUAAAGUAAUAAAAAUAAAUAAAACAAUAGUCUAUAAUUAUUUUUCACUCUUUGCCACAUAUAAUAUUGAAAAAGAUCCAAGAAAAAUAAUUGUUGAAGAAUCCUUGCUGAACACAAGCUUGAUGCUUUGUAAUAUAAGAAUUAAUUUUUGACCAUUUAAUUCUUCUUAUUUGAUAUAAAAUCCUUGUUAAAUAAGUAAGCCAAAGGUUCCUACAUAAGUUCUCAAUAGCAUUAAGAAUUUCUUGUAGUGAAUGGAAUCCAUAACUUUUAAGAAAACAAUGUCUUUUUUGUUUUUGUACUUUUCUGAUAGAUUCUAGGUCCAACUUCAAAUAUAUCAUUCUCUCUUGUUUGAAUGAAUUAACGAGUCUACCAUAUAUAUUUGAAGAGUUAUAGAUAUCUAGUUUCCAAACCAAUUGGAAUCGAACCCAAAAUCCUCCUAUAACUUCAUAUAUGACCCAAAAAGUAGAUAAAGGUUUAGAUUGACAGAUUUGAGAUUUUUAAACCCAAGCCUCUUGACUUAACCUAUUGAACUCCUCUUGGAUCCAUUUCGUUUAUGCCCUAGAAUAAAUCCAAAUGAUACUCCUAAUGGAUCAUUUGAUGUCAUGUAGGAAUGCAAUUUAGGGUUUAAAUUAAGAGAAUUGAAAAAAAUGGAUGAAUUCGAUCAUAAUUGGAAGAAUUGAAAGACCAAGGAUCAAAAUGAAAAAAAUGACAAAGUUUGGAAGUCCAAUUGAUUCAAUUGAGAAACUAAUUGAGGAGAAAAAAUAGAAUUGAGGGAAAAUUAGCUAGAUUUGCAAGUCAAUGGCCAAAAUAAAAGAGAUGAGAAAUUUUGGAAUUCCAAUUAUUCAAUCAAGGGCUUAAUUGAGGAGAAAAAAUAAAUUUUGGAGUGAAUUUGAUAAAAAAAAAAAUAGAAGAGUUAGAGACCAAAGACCAAAAUGGAAUAUGUGUUUAAAUUUAAGGAUCCUAUUAACUCAAUUAAGAGUGUGAUUGAAGAGAAUAAUUAAAAUUUUUGGAGUCAAUUUGAUAAAAAAAAAUGAAAGAAUUAAAAGAUCAAAGACCAAAAUGAAAUAGGCAUUGAAUUUUGAGGAUUGUAUUAAUUCAAUUAGGGACUUAAUUGAAAUUUUUUUUUGAUAUUUGAGGUCAAUUUGACCAAAAAUACACAAAUUUAAAAUCCAAAGACUGAUAUGUAAAAGGUGCCAACAUUGAUGGACUAAUAUGUAAAAGAAACCUUUGAUAAUUAAUACAUAUUGAUCAAAAAUAAAGAAAUUAGAAGUAUGGGGAUUAAGUUGUAACCAAAGAAAAGGAUGAAAAUAACAAAAAAAAAAUGAUAUAAUGGCAUUUAAAAUAAAUGUUGCAUAACAUCAUUUAUAAGAAAUAAUCAAAGGCACCAAACAACAUUGUUUUAAGUGGGGGUAGAUAAACUUUUUUCUCCUUCAUACCAUGCAUGCCAGUUUUUGUCCUUUUUUUUUUUGCACUUGCAUUUGACAGGAUGUUGGACCACUAUUUCUCUUUCUCACGCGAACAUUAAAUGCCCAGAAACAUGUCAUUUUCUUCCCCUGUAAUUAUACUUCACUUUAAGCCAAAGACCUAUUGCAUUGUCUCCAAGUGGUGGCAGAAAAUGCAUGCUAAAUGAGCCAACCCAAACAUUUUAUAUAAAGUGUACAACAAUGAUGGAUGACCAAGAUUUGUCUAAAGAGAUUAACGAACAAGAUUAUUUAACCUAGAAAGGUUUUAGGACCUUCCUCUAAAAAGAAACUUAAAGAUAGAAAGUUCGAAUAAGAGAGAGAGAGAUUUUAGGAAGGGAGGUUUGAGCUCAAACCAACUUAUCUAAGCGGAAGAAGAGAUUGAGGAGAGAAAGAAGAAGGGAAGAAAAAGAGAGAAAACUAUACCCAAACACAAAAAAAAAACAAAACCUUAAUUGUGAGGAAGAAAGGAGUUGGAUUUUUGGGUCACUCAAAUGGUUCAUUCUGAACCAGAGAGUUCCACAGGGGAGAAAGAAGAAAGAGAGGAAGAAAAAGGAAGAAAAAAAACACAAAUCAAAAAGAAAGAAAAAACCUUAGCCUAGAGAGAGAAAACCACUCAUAAUACCACUCCAUCUCCGGUCGGCCACUAUAAUAGCCACUAGGAGCCUCCACAGCACCUUCGUACUUUGUUGAAACUACCCUUGAAACAAGUCACAACUCUUUUCUUUCUUUCUUUUUUCUCUUUAGAAUUUAUGAAAAAAUAAUACGAAAUAAUGCAUUUUGAUUUUUAAAUGCAUGAAUACAAGUUAAAAAUAGUUUUUUUUUGCAUAGAUAUUGUGCGUUCUUAUAAAAAAUAUGGUAGCCAAAUAUGUGAAAAAUACAUGGAUAAAAAUUUAAAGUUAGGGUUUUAAAAGUUUAUUUGUAUUUAAUGUUGGUUUUGCAUGCCUCUUAUUAAUCCAAAAAAAAUGAUUAGAAGAUUAAAUGUGAUGAUUUUGAUUAAAAUACAAAUGCAUGAAAGAAAAAUCAAAACUUGUGUUUUUAAGUUUGCUUGUAACCUAGACUUGGAAUGAUAAAGUUAGGGUUUUGAAAUGUGCUUUGUUUUUUAGAUGAUAGGGCAUGAAAAAUACUUGAAUUCAAAUAUUACAUGCUACCUUGAUUGUGAAUUAAAAAACAAAUCAUUAAAUUUAUUUUUGCUUCCUUGAAUGAUACAUAAAUGAAUAAUAUGACUUAACAUCUUUUAUUCUUAAGAUUAAAUUGCUAUCUUAAGUUUUUAUUCUUAUGCUUGUUAUAGUUAUCUUAGUCUUCAUGAUUAUGCUAAAAAAUAUGUUCCCAAUUCCAAGUGUUUUGGCCAAGCCUCUUUCACGCACAAAAAAAAAACAAAACUACAUCUAUUAAAAUUUCAAGCAAGUUCGUUAAUCAGUGUGUCAUUUCAAUAUUUUUAUGUUUUCAUGUCCUUAUUUCCCAAAAAAAAAAUUAUUUAUCAUAUUAGAUGUUUUUAUAUUUCGUUUCUAUAAUUUGUUCAUGGGCCCGACAUUCCAAAACUCUUUUAAAAACCUAAGAUUAUUCUAACAUAGUGUCUUAGGAUAAUCUAAUUUGUUGUCAAAAUCUACUUUUUUGAAAGAAAUCAAAGCUCCUUUUUUUUAAUCAAUGAAGUCUUUUAUUUUAUGGAUUAACGCCUAAAUUUCUUGCUCAAAAUCUCAAAAAGAUAAAAUCUCCUAUUUUAGAUAUUAAUAACAACAUUCCUCAUUUAUAUGAAAUCUUCUAAUUUUAUAGAUUAAUAUCAAGAAUUUUAUAAAAUUCCUCCAUCGAUAAAAUCUUUUAUUUUUAGAGAUUAAUGUAAUUUUUUUUGAAAAAUUUCUUAUUUUGACAAAAUCUUUUAUUUUAGGAAUUAACAUAAUUGUUUUUUGAAAAACACUCAUUUCAAUAAAAUCUCUUAUUUUUAUAGAUUAACAUAAAAAUUUCAUUGAAAUUCUCACUCAAUAAAAUCUUCUUUCGGGGAUUAAUGUCAAACUUCACGCUAACUUUCUAGAAUCUCUUUUAAAAAUAAAUACCAUAAAAAAAAGUAGGCUUGGAAAUAGAACAACAACAUAAAAAUUAAUUUUUUAAAAAAAAACACAUAGCACACCUUUUAAAAGAAACCAAAUAAAUAAUUAAUGCAAUGUUUUUAAAGGAAGUGAAUUUUUCUUAAAGGAAAUUGUACCUUUUAAUAAUCAUGUUUUCUUAUAAUUAAAAUUAGUAAGUGCCUAACUUUGAUUCAAAAGCAAAGCAAUUUUUAUUCAUAAAUUUGUUUUUUACGAAAAAAAUCCAGAUAUUAGUCCAUCACUAUUCUAGUUAAAUACUAAUUUUAAAUCAAAACUAACCAUCAUUCAAAACAAACAACACAACACAACUUGAGUAUCAAACUAGAUAGUUGGCCGCUCUAUAUUAUGGGUUAGAUUAGUUUUUUUAAUUUAAAAAAUAUUUAAUCAUUGCUAAAAAUUUUAAAGUAGAAAAAAAAUUUGAACUAUAUAAGAGUUAAUUUGAUAUGAUCCGAUUAACUUAACAAGUCCCAAGAUAACUUAUAUUAUUGGUAUAAAUAUAAUUUGACUCAAGAAAAAAUAUUUAAGACGAUAAUCUUUUUUUAAUGUUGAUACGGAAAAAUAUUGGAUCGACCAGGGUCAACUGGAGUUAAUUUGCAAAAUUAACAACUUGGCUCAUGAGACCAUGAUAGUUUCAUAUAAAGCAAAUCAAAACAAAUAAUAAAACUCAAUUCUUAAUCAACCGAAUGUUCAAGAAUGAAAUAUAAAAAAAUAAUUAAAAAAGAGGAUUAAAAAGACAACUCAAGUUAGCAUGUCAAAGCAAUAACUCAGGUCAUGAGACCAGGAUAACCCCAUAGAAAGUAAAUUGACACAAAUUAUAAAGUAUAAUUCUUAAUCAAUCCAAUGUUGAAGGGUGAAAUUAAAAAAAAUCAAUUAAAAAAAGGACACGAAAAUACCAAGUCAAACCAGAUUAAAAUCCCAAACCCAUAACCCGGGUCAUGAGACUAGAAUAACCUCAUAAAAAAGUAAACCAAAAAAUGACAUAAUCCAAUCUAUGAUAACUUGUCAACCCUGCAACCUGAGUUAUGAGAGUAGGAUAACUUAUAAAAAAUUAAAACAAAUUAUGAAGCCAAUUAUCAAUCAAUUCAUUGUUGAUAGAUGAAAUUGAAAAAAAAAUCCAUUCUAAAAAAAGGCACAACAAAACAACCCAAGUUUAUCCAGUUUAACCUGCAAAACUCGUGACCUAGGUCAUGAGACCGAAAUAGCCUUAUAUAAAGCAAAUCAAAAUAAAUUAUAAAGCCUAAUUCAUAAUAAACUAAAUGUUAAAGGAUGAAAUUGAAAAAAAAAUGAUAAUUAAAAAAUAAAAAACUUGAAUCAACCAAGUUAAUUUGCCAAGCCCACAACACGGAUUAUGAGACUAUGAUAACUACAUAGAAAGCAAACACAAGAAAUCAUGGAGCUCAAUCUCUAGUAAAUCAAUAUUAAAAGAUUAAAUUAUAAAAAAAAAAGCAUAGAUUAAAAAAAUAUCAUUGCAAUGAAUAAUAUUUUAUGAGGUGAUGCAUAAUAAAAACAUCAUCUUUUUUAGUUUUUUUUUUAAUGUAAUUGUUUUCAUAUAUUCAAUAAUAUUUUUUUAAAAAAUAAUUAUUUUUAAUGGAUAAUUAUUAUCUAUUUGGUAUGUUAGAGAAUAAUAUAAAUCAUAUCCUGAAACCUCAUCUAACAAUUUAAGUUAUUGGAUUGAGAUGAUUCUUUGAUAUAGUGGAAGUUUUCGCCAUGACAAAAAAUCUUCUUAGUUUUCAAACAAGUCAUGAUUUGCAAGUCAUGAUUUGAUAAAUUUCUAACUUUCCUUUUUAAAAAUAAAAUAAAAUGAAUUAGCUUAUAUGUGGAGUUAAAGUACUUAUUUCAACACAACAGUAACAUAAAAUGGAAAUUUCUUAUUAUAGCGUGUUAUGUAACUAAUUCAUAUAAUGUUUUUUUUUAGUAUAUUAAUAAUCAAAUAAUAAAGUGUUUGGUAAAGGAAAAAGACAAAGAAAAACACACCAUUUUUAUUAUAUUUACUUCUUUUAAAAGUUUGAGGUUUAAUAUAUUAAAAUGGAUCUCACACGUAUGAAAGUUUUUUUUUAAAUAUAAUUUAGACUUUUAAAAGCUUCUUAAUGUUUUUUUUUUUUAAAAGUAUUCUAUUAAGCCUAGGUUAAGAACUUAUGUUAAUUCAAUUACCCCAAAAAAAUAAAAAAGAAACAAAGAAAGAAAUAGUUGUAGUCAGGGGUGAGCAAAAAAACCAAAAAACCGAGAAAACCGGAAAAACAAUAACCGAAAAAACCAAACCAUGAAAAAAACCGAUUAAAUCGAUUAAAAUUUUAAAAAACAGACCGGUUCAGUUUCGGUUUUAUAAGCCUGAAACCGAAAAAACUAAACCCAAACAAAAAAAAACCGGAAAAAAAUCAAGCCAAACCGGAAAAAUCAAAAAAACCGAGCCAAAAUCGAGCCAAACAUAGCCAAAACCGAGUCAAACAAAAAAACCGAGCCAAACCGGUUUGAACCGGUUUUUGUCAAAAAAAUCGAACUGAAACCGGUCGGUUUGAACCGGUUUCUGUUUAUUUUUUUUUUAAAUUUCAGUUUGAUUAUUUUUUUUUUAUAAAAACCAAAUCGAACCGAAAAUGAUCACCCCUAAUUGAAGUCAUUGAUUAGCUACUCAAGUACAUAACACAUAAACAUACAUAUACAUAGGAUCAAGUUUGGAUUAAGUAUAAGGUUAAGUUUGACAAUAUAUAUAUAUAUAUAUAUAUAUAUAUAUAAGAUAAUUAUUAAAACAAAACAUAUUUAAAUCGGUUAUCAUUCAUGUCAAAAAGUAUUCCUAUUUUAAUUUAAUUAAGUUAAAAGGGCAAUAAUUUAAUAAUUUCAACAUGGAAAUGGUAUGUUAAACUAUGCAUUAAAAUUCAUAUUUUAAAUAAUACAUUUAGUAAUUAAUUUUAUAUGUAAAAGGUAAUAAAACAGGUGUUAAUAUUCUUAUUUUAGUCUUUUAGGUUUAUAAAUUGUUUAAGGGUUGAAUCAAAUAUGGUUUGACAUAGAAUUCGUGUUUUAUAUAUAAUUAUCAAUUUAAUAUGUAAUGGCAUUUAAUCAUGUGAUGGAUGGAGGGUUUAGCUCAACCAAAUUGUUAAAGUUUAUGCACUCAGAAAACUCAUUUUUUUUAUUUGGUUUUUUUAUGUUUUAAAAAUGUUUUUAAAAAAAUUUAAUUUUUUUAUUUUAAAUUAAUUUUUUUUAAUAUUUUUAGAUCAUUUUAAUGUGUUAAUAUCAAAAAUAAUUUAAAUCGGUUAAAAAAAAUAUUAUUAUACAUUUUUUAGUAAAAAAUACUUUAUUGAACAAUUACAACCACACUCUCAAACACACUUAGAACUAGUUUAAACAGUGAAUAAGCAGCAAAACGUGAGCAGCAUCUCCUCUAGUGAUCUAACCUGCUAGCAUUCUAUUGAAAUUGAUCUAAUGAUGCAUGGAUAAUGAGCCAGGAAAAAACACAUUACCGUCGAAAGGAGGACCUGGUGCGUGUCCGGCAUCCAUCAAGAGACCUGCAAGUAAUAUUGGGCCAUCCCCAAGGAGGAGGAUUGCAAGCAAUGCCUCGAGGAGGAGUGUUAGGCCUACCGAACUUUACCCAUUUUUUUUUUGUUCUUAGGCUUUCGACAUCUGUUGUUGAAUAAGAAAAGCAAUAUUUGGGUCAUCACGAAAGCUUUCAAGACCUCAAGCGCCGGAUAAUUAGUAAUUUGCCCUAAAGCUGGAGCUGAAAAGUAUGGUGGAAAAUCAUAUUGAAUUAUGUAUUUGAAACGUUAAUUAAGAUCAUUAUUUUAAAAUAUUAUUUGUCCACUAAUUGCUAUUGAAUUUAAAAUAAUACACUUUUAAAACUAAUAUAAAGUUACCAAGAGUCAAUUUGAUAGCAGUAUGGGAGACCCUGCUUGAAUAAAAUCUCAUUGAAUUUGGUCAGUGAGUUUUAGAAUAAAGUGAAAUAAAAAGUUAUUUCAAAACAUAACCAAUAUUUUUAGUUAUUUGUCUAAAAAGUUUAGUAUAUCCCAUAAAAAUCAUGAAUUUUGGAUGAAAUAAAAUCAAUAAAUCAAUUCUAAAAUCAAACACCGAUUGAAUUUUUUUUUACUUUGAUCCCUGAACAUUUUAAUCUAACCCUUGAAUUCAUUUUCUUUAUAUCAUGAAUUCAACACUCUUCAGGUAAAAAAGUUACCCCAAAUUACAUUAAGCUCUUGUAUUGCCUCAAAGAACGAAUCACAUAACUAGACAUUGUUCGUAGCUAAUGUGAGUUAGCUCAAUCGGGAUGUCAUGUCCUAGAAAGUAACAAAACAAAAGAAACUUUAAGGGCAACUUUAUGGGAAUGUGAUUAGUUAAGGUGACUUGCCUGAUGCUGAGUUGACCAAAUGUUCUUUUUAUCCCGUAUUUGUUAUACUUUUUUCAACUAGUGGAGUAGAUAGUAGGACAAGAGGAUGUUUUCAAGAUCAAAAUGUAGGAAGUGGGUACCAAAUUUAAUCAUUUCACAGCAAAAAAAAUCAAACUUCCAUGUAAGGUUCCUAACAAAUGAAUGCUCAUAGUUUGCUUCCAAAUCUACGUAGAACCAUGAACAGGAGUACUUUAUGGAGCACGUAAGAAAUCCAUCGAGAUUAGGAUUCAAAAUCUUGUUCUCCAAGAAUGUGCUCACCCAACUAACCUAACUGAGAAAAACGACAUGGCAACAAUUCCCCUAAUCCCUUUAUAAGGUUGAGGUAGUCAGCUACAGAUGAAUGCAACAAGCUUGAAAUAAGAAAGAAGUAUAUCAAAUAGCGAGAGAGAGGAUUGAAAGGGAAUGAUCAGAAAGUCAGCAAAAAUGGAGUACUCGUGGUUCCGUUUUAUGCUUCUUGCUGUCAGCCUCUUCCCUGCUUUGGUCGAAUGCAGGGUUCGGCAUUACAAAUUUAAUGUAAGUUUGCGUUGUUAGUAUUAUUUUUAUAGAACAAACUUGGAUAUGGUCUAGCCUUUUUGCAGCUAAAAGGCUAUAGCACGCCGUCAUGAGUGACCAAAGCUCGAAAUGCUCGAGCUUGAGGUCUUGACUAGUCUCGUUCACAUAGAGAAUUUUCUUCAAAAUGCACUUCAUUGUUAGAAAACUACGAUUCAAAUUGCAAGCUUAGAGUUUUCUAAUGGAAAAUUUGUUCUCAUUCUUACUUUAUUGGAAAUUAUUUGCAGCAAAAAGCUCUCGCUAUCCAUUUAUAUAUUUACACAACUAGUCAGACAAAAUUAUUUAAUAUUUGGGCAAACUUAGUAAUGAAAAUUAAUUAUUUGGACAGUAAUGGUAAGAUCUUAAAUCGUCAACAGACUCCAUGCAGAGCUAUAGUGACAGAAUUAGCUACAAACACUUUAACAACUUGGACAUUUUGUCAUGACCUUUGAAUUAUAUACAUUUGAUGUAGAAAUGAGCUUGAUUUCUCCUAUCAUUUCAACAGGUGGUGAUGAAAAAUACUACCAGACUAUGCUCAAGCAAGCCUGUUGUCACCGUCAAUGGCCGAUUUCCAGGACCAACUCUGUAUGCCAGAGAAGACGAUACAGUUCUUGUAAAAGUUGUUAAUCAUGUCAAAUAUAAUGUGUCCAUCCACUGGUAAGAUACUAAAUAACAUUUAUCCUAAUUAACCAUGAAUGAUUCUGAUGUAGUUUUUUCUUGGUAUUUGGCAGGCAUGGCAUUAGGCAAUUAAGAACGGGCUGGGCUGACGGACCAGCGUACAUUACGCAAUGCCCCAUUCAGACAGGGCAAAGCUAUGUCUACAAUUUCACAAUCACAGGCCAGAGAGGCACACUUCUUUGGCAUGCACAUAUUCUCUGGUUAAGGGCCACAGUCCAUGGUGCAAUAGUUGUCUUGCCUAAGCGAGGUGUCCCCUACCCAUUCCCAGCUCCCCACAAGGAAUUUGUUGUUGUCUUAGGUGCGAAAGACGUACAAAUUUAUUGCUUCACCAUAACUUGAGCAAUUCUCGAGUUGAUAAGAAUGUGGUUCAAACCAUAACUCCAAGUAUAAGAUUCAUAGUUGUUAAAUAUGCAAUUCUGCAUUAACUUGGUUAAGUUAUAUUGCAGCCGAAUGGUGGAAAUCAGACACUGAAGCUGUGAUCAAUGAAGCUCUUAAAUCAGGAUUAGCACCAAAUGUCUCUGAUGCUCACACAAUUAAUGGGCAUCCAGGAGCUGUCUCAGCUUGUCCUUCACAGGGUAUUUAACUGGCAUGGCCUUAAAUUUAAUACUAAGGUUCCCGUUAUCAAGUUCACUAUAUUAAAAAGCUUACACAAGAAUGUUCUUCGAUUCUUGCAGGCGGUUUCACAUUGCCAGUCGAAAGUGGGAAGACCUACAUGCUACGGCUGAUCAAUGCUGCACUCAACGAAGAGCUCUUCUUCAAAAUUGCAGGGCACAAGCUUACUCUUGUGGAAGUUGAUGCCACCUACGUUAAACCUUUCAAAACUGAUACAGUCCUAAUUGCCCCAGGCCAGACCACCAAUGUCCUCGUCACAACUAACAAAAAUACGGGCAAGUACUUGGUUGCAGCCUCCCCAUUCAUGGAUGCUCCAAUUGCAGUAGACAACAUGACUGCAACAGCCACUUUGCACUAUUCGGGAGCACUUUCUGGCACCCCUACAACUCUCACCAUCCCACCUCCCAAGAAUGCCACUGCAGUUGCCAACCAAUUUACCAAUUCUCUACGCAGUCUAAACUCGAAAAGGUUCCCUGCCAAAGUCCCAUUAACUGUUGACCACAACCUUUUCUUCACUGUUGGUCUAGGAAUUAACCCGUGUCCAACUUGCAAAGCUGGUAAUGGUAGCAGAGUUGUUGCUAGUAUCAACAAUGUCACAUUUGUCAUGCCAACCACUGCCCUGCUUCAAGCACAUUUCUUCAACAUCAGUGGUGUGUUCACCACUGAUUUUCCUUCAAAGCCACCACAUGUUUUUAAUUACACAGGUACUCCACCAACAAAUUUGCAGACCACAAGUGGAACCAAAGUUUAUAGGUUGCGCUACAACUCGACAGUCGAGCUUGUUAUGCAAGAUACUGGGAUCAUAUCCCCUGAGAACCAUCCAAUCCAUCUACAUGGAUUCAAUUUCUUCGGUGUUGGUAGGGGAGUAGGGAAUUACAAUCCGAAGACUGAUCCUAAGAAAUUUAACCUUGUUGACCCUGUUGAGCGGAACACAAUUGGAGUACCUUCUGGUGGAUGG